rnacentral:misc_RNA from 1 species
CCUCAGUCUACAAGUAUGGAAGAUGUAGUCCAUUAUCCAUAUAAAGAGUGCAUCAUUCAUAGUAGCUCGCGACCUGCUCAUGGGGAAAGACAAAGUCUGAAGGUUCAAUUUAGUGAUCAUGUAGUUAUACAUACAAACCCAAACCAUUUCUCAGAAGAAGAUAAAGUUAGUAUGACAAACACUAGUACUCCUUUGACUACUAAUUCCACAGUUAAAAAUGAUGGGAGAGACCUGCAAAAAAGUACACACAAAUCAGUGAUUGACAGAGAAGCCAACAGUAAUUUACCUGAAUUAGAGAACGUUAAUUAUCGAGAUCAAAAUAAAGAACAUUACUACACAGAAGACAUCGUUAAAGUUUUAGAUAAAAACACUUCAUCAACUAAUACUCCCAGCAUCCCAGUUAGAGAAUACAAGUCAUUGGUUAAGUUUGAAUUGGAUAAGUUAUUGCAGUUGUGUGACCCUGUAAACAGAUCAUAUUCGGAAGAUUCUGUGAAUUCGACACAGAAAUAUAUUUUGGAAAGAAAAGAAAUUCGACAUGACAAAUCUCCAAAUCACGAGUGUGACAUUAAUAAAAGAUCUGCAGAAGAAGAGUGUGGAAAAGAUUUGGACAUGUCUAGAAAACUGAAUCGUACUUUAGAAAACUUCAAAAAUAAUAUGCACAAUGGCAACAUUCCACAACCUUUUUCUGAUUCAUAUCUUACUUCACUGAUGGUUACUUCCAGUAAUAACAAAUACAGCCUAAAUAGGAUGAGUUAUUUAAAUGCAAAUUGUAGUUUUUCAAAUGUGAAAGAAACUUUUUUUAACCAACAGUUAGACUCUUCUGGACGAAAUGGAAAAGAAGCCAGAAAAGUGCAACUAUGUCAAUCUGAGAAAGAGACUACUGGAGGCAACCAGCCAGUUGUUUUCUCUGAUAAUGUGUGUACUGGACAUAGAACAGAAAACCCCGAAGGAAAGACUUCUAAUCUCAUCAAAUACCCCCUUCUGUUAGAUGAAGUGAUAUCCAAACAAUCUAUAUUGAAACAUUAUCCUAAACCUUUUUCGUCAGAGAUGUGUGAUAUGAAUAGCUUGAAACAAAAAUUGGAAAAUGAAACUGCUGAAAUGCCCCUCCUGCCAAUUGAAAAUGACCAAUAUAGCCCAACUGAUAAUGCCACAGUGGCUCGUAAUGAAGAAAAUGACACUUCUUCAGCUUUUUCAAAAGCAUCUGUUUCUUGUGAACGUAAGCCAGUUGCAUCAAAAUAUAAAUCACUGUUGUCUAAUUUUGAAGUUCCAAAACAUUCCCAACUUUCAGUUGAAAAUUCAUCAUAUGAGCCCAAAUCAUUAUCAAUAGAUGAAGCUAGACUCAGUUUACUGACAGAACAAAUGAAUGAUAAAAGUAAAUCCAAACCCAAUUCAUCACCUUCGCUGGAGCACAGUGACAUUGGUGAUGUCACAAAAGAAAGAAGUCGAGGAGUAAAACGACAUGUUAAUAAAUUAGACGUCCGAGAUUCAUCUGGAUUCUUUACUUCUUUCAGUACCAGUGAUUUUCACUCAGCCAUGGAAUCUUUUGGCAGAAGUUUUAGUUCACCGUGUACAUCUGGUUCUCCUUCCACAUACACUGAACCAAGGAGUGUAGAAGAUUACGAGCACCUAGUUUCUGUUUUGAAGGUUGAAAUACAUAGACUUGAAAUUCAAUUAGAACAUGCAAUAAAAUCUCUUCUACGAAUAAGGCAAGAGUCUCAAGCAAUUGUGGAAAAAAUACAAGAUGAAAAAUACUACUUUGAAUUGACACUUUGUAAAGAGGCAGAAGAUUUUAAGAAUCAUUUAAGAUUGUACGUAGAAAAACUGGAAGAAGAAUUAUUUAGAAAAGAAAGAGAGUUUACAAUUCAAAAGAAAAAGUUAGAGAAGGAAAAACUUCUCCUUCAGGAUGAAAUCAAAUCACUGAGAAAGGAACUUUCCAAGGUUUUGGAACAACAAGCUCACUUUAAAACAAAAGAAAAGAAAACAAGAAACAAUGAACCAAUGAGAGAAUUGUAUGAGAAGCUAGAUAACGAACAUGCAACUGAAACUGAAUUGGAAAAGAAACUAAAAGCUCAACAGCUGCAGCUAGAAGAAGUGAAGAGAAACACUGAAUAUGUAACUAAGGAAUUCCAAAUAAAACUUGAGAAGAUGUUUGAAGAAAAUGCAAGGAAAGAUAUGAUGUUGAGAGCAAUGGAAAAUAAGCUCAGUGUUUUGAAUGCAGAGAACCAGCAGCAUUUACGGAAGCAGAACACAGUAGUUGGCCAAGACAGACUUGAAACAAGUAUAGACAAUCAUAAUGGAAACUUUUGUGCUCUUGAUGGAACCUCGAAACAACACCAACUCAAAUGCUUAAAAACAGAGAUGGAAUACAUUCAGGAAGAACUAAACCAGAGAACUCGCAGGUGUGAAGAGUUACGUCGUACCGGACAGUAUUGGAAAGAAGAAGUUGCUAGUUUACGUCAAGAGCUCGCCAAACUAAACAAGGAAAACUACAGUUUGUACACCUUUGCUGAAAGACUAAGAAAUUUUGUGGAAAGUCAAAUAUAUAAUGGUGGUAAAUUUGUGGAGGAAUUGGGGAAGGUACAAUCCAAGGAUGACCUGAAUGCUGAAAUCGGAGAAGAAACAAUGGCAGAAGUUUUUAAAGCAAGAAACUCUCUUCAAACACAGCUAUGUGAAAUGGAAGGAAAGCUUAACAAGUUGACUGAGCAGCUAAAAGACUUUGCAACUGAAAAGCAUAUUCUGGAAGCUGAGAUAGAGAAACAGAAAACAGCUCAGGAAGUUGCUAACCAAGAAUUAAAGACAUUUAAAGAAAAGAAAAAACAGGAAGAAAAAGUGCUUACUCAAGAGAUAGAAACUGCCAAGAUGGAAAUGAAACAAGUAAAUGAAGAGCUUAAACAGUGUAAGACAGACUUGGAAAACAAGGAUGUUUUAGUUAAAGAUCUCCUACAUAAAAGUGAAGGAUUUGAAAAUCAAAGUUACAGUCUUCAUGCAUGGAUGGGAGCGGAGAUAAACAAUAUCCUCAGGUUGGAAGAAAAAAUAGCUACUUUAUCGAAGGAAAAUAAGGAAAUUUGUGCUCAAAACAAAAAACUGACUUCAGAAUUAGAUGUUUCAAAUAAUGACUUAGAACAAGAAAGAUCUCAAAAUUCAAAGAAAUUCUCUGAAAGUAAGAAGAUACACCAAGAUGAAAUAAGAAGAUUAAAAGAAUAUAUUGAAAAAAUUGAGUGUGACUUGUUAAAGGCUGUGACUGACCGUACAUCCCUACAAAAAACAGUGAAGCAUACUCAGGAAAGCUUUGAAGAGUUUCAGAGUAACAUUUGCCACCUGGAGUUUAAGCUUGGGUCUGUACAAAAGCAAUUAAUAGAAAAGACGGCAGCGUAUAAUGCAUCUAAAUCGUGGUGUGAUGACUUGCAGAUGAAGGUGAAGAACUUGCAAGAGGAUAAGAGCAACCUCGACACCUCUGUAAAGAAACUAAAACUUAAAGUUGCUGAAUUGGAAGACUGUUGGAAGUCUGCAGAACAAGAAUUAUCAGAUAUCAAAAGAGAAAAAGAAGACUUUGAGAUCUCAUCUGUCACCCAGGACAAGCAGAUAUUAACAUUUCAGCAUCAAGUUCAUGAUCUUAAAGAACAGUUGUCACUGAAAAAAACAGAAUAUAAAAAUAAAAAGGACAAACUAAUCGCGAUAUGGCGAGAACGGGAGACUGAACUAAUUGACAAGAUUGAAGAACUGAAUGCUAGGAUUGAAUGUGGUAACACUCAGUCUCACCAGCUUGCUGCAGAAGUUAAAGACUUGAGAUCGAGAUGGACGAAAGUAACUCAGGAAAACGCUACUCUCCACAGUGUCCUGAAGGAGUUUGAACAUAAGCUGUCUAUUGCUCAGUUAGAACUGAAAGAAACAAAAGAAAAGCUAAAAACGGAAAAUCAGCUUGUCAGUGUUCUCAACUUCAAAAAUAACCAGCUGGAAGAAGAAAUUGAGAGAAUGAGAGAGGUUCAAAAUAGUAGUGGGUAUACAUCGAAGAAUGAUUCAAGUGAAGACUCAUCUCCACUUAAAGACUGGAGCACCAGAGUAGAAGGCUUGAUUGUGUCUCAACUCAAAACAUAUUUUAACAAUAAUUCAAAAGUAAAACUUAAAAUCAGAGCAGGUUACAGACUUUGCUCAUAGAACAGCAGAGAUGUUACGAAUGGACCUACUCAAGUCUGAGAAUUCAAGACUGAAAGCCUCUCUGUUCAACUCAAAGAAGAAAGAUGGUGAAAUAAGUAGAAAAGAAGCAUGGGUCCGACAACCGGUAUCCACAAGUGAUGUUGAAGAGGAGAUCAACAAAUCCCUCCUUCGUGCCCAUUUACACUUAUACAAAUCUAACCAAGGGUCAGGUAACGUCCCGGCUUUGACAGCUUUUGAUAUAUUACGU